CAAAUUUUAAAUCUACCUGGUUUCCAGGUCGAGUUGUAAUUUGAAGAAGUGUUUUUUACUUUCCGGGUUGGGUUAAAUCCUUUGGGAUAAGGUAUCAUGGAGGGUGAGAAUCCCGUGUAUACCAACCGCAGGAUYGUUUAAUAUACACUUUCUAAGAGUCGAGUUGUUUGGGAAUGCAGCUCUAAAUGGGUGGUAAAUUUCACCUAAUGCUAAAUAUAAGCGAGAGACCGAUAGCGAACAAGUACCGUGAGGGAAAGAUGAAAAGAACUUUGAAAAGAGAGUUAAAUAGUACGUGAAAUUGUUGAAAGGGAAACGGUUGAAGUCAGUCAUGCCGGCGGGAAUCAACUUAGGGGAAACUCUGAGUGCACUUCUUCCCUUGGCAGGUUAGCGUCGAUUUUGGAUGUCAUAAAAUGACUGGGGGAAGGUAGCUCUUUCGGGAGUGUUAAGCCCUURGUAGAUGUGAUGUCYGGGAUCGAGGAUUGCAACGGAUACCUUUUGGGCUARCCGCCUAGUCUCUAAUACGAAGUUGGGUUAUGGACAGCAC
rnacentral:rRNA from 1 species